rnacentral:tRNA from 1 species
GCCGAUGUAGCUCAGCUGGUAGAGCAGUUGCUUCGUAAGCAACGGGUCGGAGGUUCAAGUCCUCUCAUCGGCU